rnacentral:rRNA from 1 species
GAUUCGUCACACUAUCAUUAACUGAAUCCAUAGGUUAAUGAGGCGAACCGGGGGAACUGAAACAUCUAAGUACCCCGAGGAAAAGAAAUCAACCGAGAUUCCCCCAGUAGCGGCGAGCGAACGGGGAGGAGCCCAGAGCCUGAAUCAGCAUGUGUGUUAGUGGAAGCGUCUGGAAAGGCGCGCGAUACAGGGUGACAGCCCCGUACACAAAAGCGCAUGUGCUGUGAGCUCGAUGAGUAGGGCGGGACACGUGGUAUCCUGUCUGAAUAUGGGGGGACCAUCCUCCAAGGCUAAAUACUCCUGACUGACCGAUAGUGAACCAGUACCGUGAGGGAAAGGCGAAAAGAACCCCGGCGAGGGGAGUGAAAAAGAACCUGAAACCGUGUACGUACAAGCAGUGGGAGCACAGGUUUACCUGUGUGACUGCG